GUAAGAGUAAACAAAACAAUUCCAAGCCAACAUGUCCAGGUUGAAAAAGGGGAUAUUUACUGGCUGCGAGCAAACACACACACACACACUGACACACACAUCUCUCUCCCAGUGAAAAAUAAAAGUCGUUCUGUAAGUCUUUUGUUCCUUCAGACUAGCACACACAUUUAUAGUCAUGGCUGAGAGGAGACGGCACCAGUGGCCCCUCUUCACACUGUGAGAGAAGGAGACAUGGAAGGAAAGCUGGGAUCGUCACAGUGCUAUUGCCUCUUGAAGUCAAAUUGUGUCGUACUCUUCAGAGCCGUGUGACGCAGAGUUUAUUAUGGAGGACUUGAAGCCCGAGGGCUGGCGGCAGCUACUUCAGCCCCAUGGUGCAGCUGGCAAAAACAGCACAAGUCUCCUUCGCAGGUCCUCAUCAUGGAGGAGGCCUGGGGAGCGGGGUUAUUACGAGGGCCCCGCGGCGCAGGUGAAUGAGCCCCCUCGCAGAGCUCGUCCACUGAGCUGCAUAGAGGGUGGCAGGAUGGACAAAUGGCUUCAGACACUAGAGAGACUCCAAUCACGUCGGCUUCAGAAUCAAAUACCUCAGUUUGUGGACAGGACGAUAUCAAUGCCAGUUCUCUCGAAUGAGACAGCGGGAAGUAACCCACUGUGUCCUGAUGUUUCCUCUCUGCGCAGGAGGAAUCAGACCCCUAGCGUCUGUCCCAGAGUGAGUGAAAGCUCCUCGAGCAGUCUGGAGUCUGUUCACAUUAAAGCUGCUCCCGCUGCAGAAAGAGCUCAGUUCUGCGCUCUCGCUCCAGUUCACUUCGGCUGGCUGCCCAUACAAAGACAUGUGAUACUGACAGACAUCUCUCAUAACCACCAUGACAACAGUAGGUGCCAGCAGAAACUGAAGUCUCCCAUCACUCCAGUGUUGCUCAGCACUCCUGCCAAACUUAAUGGACCAAGACCAAAUGACAGGGAGACUUCGAGGCCUGAACCUGUAGGCUUUAGAUACUGGAAAACACCUGAAAAAACACCAUCCGUCCUCCAUCAGGCUUCGGGAUCCGUGAGCUCUGAGGGAGGACGAAAUGGACCACAAGCCUGGAAUCCGAAAGCAGAGAUAGACACAUGCCACGCUGGACCACAUCCCAUGUUGAGAAAUCCCGCAUGCAGGCGUGGAAGUGCGCCGGAGUCCUUCAGCUCCUCGAUAUCGUCCAUCACUAUCACUUCCAGGAAGGUCACGCACACAAACUCCAGGCCUCUGAGUCCAGCGAUGAAUAGCCUCGCCGAUGGACACAGAAAAGCUUUAGUGGUCAAAGUCACUGAACAGAGGACGAAAAGCACUUCCAGCCUGCCCAUCGCCUCGACCUCUGGCUCUGAUCAUGAAGAGAUGGACCAUGGUGUGGUCCUGAGAAGAAAGGCAACCAUUGUGAAAAUGACCGAACAGAGAGAGCGUUUCAGUCCAGUGAAAUACAGACACAGCUACACUGAAGGACUCCAUAAUGAAUCUAAAGUCAAUCCCUCACCAUUAAACCAACCGUUAACUAUAUCUCUAGAGCCAGGAGGAAACCAGUGGAGGUCCCAGCACAGAUCUAGCCUAUCUCUCUACCUCAACAACCCAAACGAUAGCAGCGCAGUAGGGGAGAGCAACACCAAAACACACAAGCCACCUCGAAGGCCUCUCAGCUGCGACGCAAGCCUGUUUAACCACACAGAACUUGGCAGUGAUGCAGUUACACAGCCAGCGUUUCACAACAAGAGCUCUCCUGUUCCCCAGAAGACAAAUAUUGACCUUGUUAGUUCCAGCAGCAGCGAAGCAAGAAGGCGCUGGGCCUCCGGUGGCGAGGAUGGGAGCGAGAGGAAAGAGUGGGAUCGUGAGGAACCUAUUUCAGGAAUCAAUCCUCUCACGCUACUAAAAGCAGCAGGUACCAGCAGAACCCGCAUGGAUAUUCGGUGGUAG
ensembl:lncRNA